rnacentral:rRNA from 1 species
UACGGGGGGGCAAGCGUUGUUCGGAAUUACUGGGCGUAAAGGGCUCGUAGGCGGCCAACUAAGUCAGACGUGAAAUCCCUCGGCUUAACCGGGGAACUGCGUCUGAUACUGGAUGGCUUGAGGUUGGGAGAGGGAUGCGGAAUUCCAGGUGUAGCGGUGAAAUGCGUAGGAUAAUCAGGAGGAACACCGGUGGCGAAGGCGGGUCUCCUGGGCCGAAAUUGACGCUGAGGAGCGAAAGCGUGGGGAGCAAACAGGA